rnacentral:tRNA from 1 species
GCCUCGGUCGUCUAGAUCGAAAGAGGAAAAUGGUCUAGGAUACAGGUCUGUCACACCUGUGACACGGGUUCAAAUCCCGUCCGAGGCG